CCUACGGGAGGCAGCAGUGAGGAAUAUUGGUCAAUGGGCGCGAGCCGGAACCAGCCAAGGAGCGGGAAGGAGGACUGCCCUACGGGUGGUAAACUUCGUUUAUAAAGGAAUAAAGUGAGGCACGUGUGCCUUUUUGUAUGUACUUUAUGAAUAAGGAUCGGCUAACUCCGUGCCAGCAGCCGCGGUAAUACGGAGGAUCCGAGCGUUAUCCGGAUUUAUUGGGUUUAAAGGGAGCGUAGAUGGGUUGUUAAGUCAGUUGUGAAAGUUUGCGGCUCAACCGUAAAAUUGCAUUUGAUACUGGCAGUCUUGAGUCCAGUUGAGGUCGGCGGAAUUCGUGGUGUAGCGGUGACAUGCUUAGAUAUCACGAAGAACUCCGAUUGCGAAGGCAGCUUACUAAACUGCAACUGACAUUGAUGCUCGAAAGUGUGGGUAUCAAACAGGAUUAGAUACCCUUGUAGUC
rnacentral:rRNA from 1 species